AAAACGAACAAACAAGUUUCUUGAUUUUUUAUUCUUUUAAAACUUAUUUUUGGAUUAUAAUCUCUCAAAUAUUAAAAUGUUUGAAAGCGCUAUCUGCAAUUAUGAUUUUGUAAACAACUGCAGAGGUCCAGGUGGUACAGAGGCUGUGACAAGCUAGAAGUAGAAAUUGGGGCUCAUGGAAGAAUUGAAAGUUGUUAAAAGGUGAAGAAAAAAAUGAAUCCGGUGUUAGUUUUCAUUCCAAAUAUUAUUGGUUAUAUCAGAAUAAUCCUACUAUUUAUAGGAUGGAUAAUUUCAGACAAUUCUUACUGGUUUCUUGUGGUGUAUGUGACAUCUGUAAUGCUUGAUGGAAUUGAUGGAUGGGCAGCCAGAAAAUUUAACCAAGUUUCUGAUUUUGGUGCUUGGCUUGAUGUUAUAAUUGACAAUAUUGGAAGAGGAAUGCUGUGGUGUCUUAUUAGUCCGAGUGGAUAUUUUGUGUCAGUGGUGGAAUGGGUAUCUUUCAUCAGUAAUUAUACACAAAGAGGAUCAUCAUGGAAACAGCUUCAAGAACCACCUGAGUUUGCUGCCAAAGUCAUGAAGAAUGGUUGCAGAACCCCUCCUGGAAUGUUUGCUAUUGCAGGCCUACACUUUUUACCUGUAUGGCUGUAUGUAAUACAGAGAAGAAUCUUAGCAGAAGCCCUGAUUGGUGUCUUUGUCAAGUUACAGUACAUUGUCUUGGGUUUCCUUUUGGUUGGUCGAGCAUUAGCAAUGAGUGUUGAAGUAUGGUGCAUCUUUGCUCACAUCAGAAGACUUCUGAUACAAGAAAUGGUUCACAUGCACUGAAUCCACCACCACAGUUGUUUAAAGACCAUGAGAUAAGCAGAAGUAGCAACAACAAGUAGGCUAGAAACUAAAGCCACUGACAAAGCCUACCGAAGUUAUUGAACCAAGUAAGAACAUUUCCACAUUCACUCUCCGAUUCUAUACGAGCUGAUGCUUCCCUAAUUAAUAACACAGGCCUGUGCUGGGUUUAUUGUAUUGAAAUUUUUGUGUCCUACAGUAAUUCCUGUAUACUGAAUCCAAA
rnacentral:misc_RNA from 1 species